rnacentral:tRNA from 1 species
GGGCGAGUGGCGGAAUUGGUAGACGCGCUAGACUCAAAAUCUGGUUCUCGCAAGAGAGUGAGGGUUCAAGUCCCUCCUCGCCCACCA